rnacentral:lncRNA from 1 species
UGAGAGACUCAGAGAGAGAGGCAAGACACAGGCAGAGGGAGAAGCAGGCUCCCCACAGGGAGCCCGAUGAGGACUUGGUCCCAGGACUCCGGGAUCACAACCUGAGCCAAAGGCAGACGCUCAACCACUGAGCCACACAGGCGCCCAUAUCAACCGUGCUCCUCACAGAGUACGACACAUAAGCUGCCUAGGCUAUCACAAGGCAUGGACCAAGUCCCUGCCCCUGCAGAGCUUCCCACUGAGCUGAGCAGAUGGACAAACAGGUUAACUGUCACCCACUGUACCAAAUCCUGUGGCUGAAGCCUGGACGCCCAAGCAGGGAGCGGUUCAUGCUGGACAGUCCUGUGCUUAAUCCUACUUGCAAUUCUUUUAGUAAGAAAAACCACAGCUUGCAAAUUUCUCAUUUAUAAUGCAUUCAGGUCGAGAAACCACCACUACCACCACCAUGCCAAGACCUUGAAGAAAAGCAUCCUGUGGGCAUCCACCGCAAUGAGGCCUGCCAGGACUCCAGGUCUAUCUCCCUGACGGGGCUGCAGAAGCAGAGGUCUGUGGCAGCUGCAAGUCACAGUGGGUUAAAGACAGAACGUAAUAAACCAUUCAUUGAGUCCUGAGUGAUUUUAUGUACAUUGUCUCAUUUAUGUCUUUCAGAUAUUAGUAUACUCCAAUUUCUAGGAUACAAACUCAGGCAGAUUAAGUAAAAAGGCUGGAGAGAAAUCAGGAUGGGCCCAGGCACUCCUGGCAGGGAACCGCACCACAAACCAGCCAGCAGGGACAGUAUCUGAGGAGGAGGUUCUCUCGCUUUCAGAAUACAAUGGAUUUUAAAUAAACACCUUCUCUGGUGUUUCCUACUAAACUUCCAGAGGAAGCUAUGGGGUGUGCUACCUAAAAGUCUCAGGUCUGUGGCAUCCCUUGAGAAUCCGUAUGUGUAAAAUGUGGUGACAAUGGCCUGCUGGGGGUACUCAAUGAAGCAAUGCCUCUGCCAGCACCCAAACAUUCCAACAUGCCAGCAAAUAUAAAUGACCAUGGGCAGUAGCAUUACUGCCAGGACUCUGUGAGUAGCCUAGGGGAAAGGCACUGUAGAGAAGGACACAGCAAACACACACCUAAACCUGUUUACUCCUCAAAAACAGAGAGAGCAUGGAAUACCAAAGAUGGGGGAAUAUUCCAGUCAACAGCUGGUACGUACAGGCGAGGUGGCUAAAAGACUCCAUUACCACCUGCACUAUCUGGUGGAGCUCACCAUCUCCUUGUACUCACCCAUGGCCUCAGGUAAGAACACCUAGAGAAAAAGAGGGAAAUACAGGAAAAUCCAACGAAGAGUAAAAACUGAGAAUCCCGAGCUCCAGUGACAUCUGAGUGACAGCUGAAGACAUAACUCCAGUUCUGCCCAGAAGCUGCUUUGAGUUGGGGGACCCAUCCCCAACACCCACAGCUGGGAGGUCACAUCUCGCCUGGGAAGAGACUGGGGAGUUGCUCCCACACUUCCCUGCUCCCAGCCAGGAUGUCUUCCAUCCCCAGGGCUCCUGAAACCAAAGUGGUGUGGGACAAAAGGCCAGACUCUGCUUAGAAGACACUGGGUAUGGGGCACCUGGAUGGAUCAGUGGUUGAGCAUCUGCCUUUGGCUCAGGUUGUGACCCCGGGGUCCUGGGAUCGAGUCUUGCAUUGGCUCCCUGUGGGGAGCCUGCUUCUCUCUCUGCUAGGUCUCUACCUCUCUCUAUGUCUCUCAUUAAUAAAUAAAACCUUAAAAAAAAUUCCCAUCCUAGAAACUGCCCGACAACCCCUAGUUCACCUAGCACUUUCCCCCACAUCUUGACAUGUCAACAUCUACAAUCGUGGAAGGCAAGCAGAACAAGCCCUUUUACCACCCACUUAGAAAUGAGGACACUGAGGACAAAGCACGUUGACCACACGGUGACAUAAGCACAAAAGCACAGACCUUUGAACUCCAAGCGCAGACUAGAUGAAGCCAGGUAUCUGAGCUCCAAGCCACUGCUCUUUCCAGGGCACCCCUCUCUGAGAACCUUCUGGAAAAGUCUAACACCCAACCCUACCCAACACAGUAGCCCACACGCUUCAACCUUCAUCAGCCCUCAUGUCCAUCAACAGGUGGCCCCCUGCGUCAACCACAUGUACACCGAGCCAGGCUCAUCAGCCACCUCCAUGACAAAUAGAGACCUAACCCUAGGACUUCCAGAGGAGAGACACACAUGAACAGGCUGGUUUUCUGCAAAUAUGCAGUAAGUGUGGGGCAGGGUAAGUAACCAUAGGUCCCCAACAACCACUAACCAGAAAUCCCAGAGCUCUGAUUUUCAGGGUCCUGGGUUCAAAUCCUGUCUCUGGAACUACUUAAUCUCUGUGACCCGAGGCAAGCAACUUUGUUUUCCUAGUUUUAGCUUCCUUGUUUAUAAAAUUGAUGAACUUAAAAAAGAGAGAGAGAGACAGAUCCCACAGUGAAUGUACUUAAUGCCACAGAACUAUAUAUUUAAAAGUGGUCAGAAA